UAGAGACGAAGUCAAACAACCGAAGCAAAUUUCACCGAAAAAAGUAGCGAAAAUCAAAAGAGAAACAAAUUGAUAGUUUAAUAACUGAAAAUGUAUAUAUUUUGGAGAAAUCUAUUUCAGAGAACAGAAACAACGAUUCUUCAAAAAUGUAGACCAAAUCAGGAAGCUGAGGAUGCAAUACACAACUCAACUAAUGCUUUUGAAGAAAACACUGAAUGUAGGAUCAACAAAAGAUUAUCAAGAAAAAUUACAAAAGAGUAG